ACACUCCUCGGGAGGCAGCAGUGGGGAAUCUUGCGCAAUGGGCGAAAGCCUGACGCAGCCAUGCCGCGUGAAUGAUGAAGGUCUUAGGAUUGUAAAAUUCUUUCACCGGGGACGAUAAUGACGGUACCCGGAGAAGAAGCCCCGGCUAACUUCGUGCCAGCAGCCGCGGUAAUACGAAGGGGGCUAGCGUUGCUCGGAAUUACUGGGCGUAAAGGGAGCGUAGGCGGACAUUUAAGUCAGGGGUGAAAUCCCGGGGCUCAACCUCGGAAUUGCCUUUGAUACUGGGUGUCUUGAGUAUGAGAGAGGUGUGUGGAACUCCGAGUGUAGAGGUGAAAUUCGUAGAUAUUCGGAAGAACACCAGUGGCGAAGGCGACACACUGGCUCAUUACUGACGCUGAGGCUCGAAAGCGUGGGGAGCAAACAGGAUUAGAUACCCUUGUAUCCCAUG
rnacentral:rRNA from 1 species